UACGUAGGGGGCAAGCGUUGUCCGGAAUUAUUGGGCGUAAAGCGCGCGCAGGCGGUCCUUUAAGUCUUGUGUUUAAUGCCAAAGCUCAACUUUGGUACGCAUGGGAAACUGGGGGACUGGAGUGCAGGAGAGGAAAGUGGAAUUCCACGUGUAGCGGUGAAAUGCGUAGAGAUGUGGAGGAACACCAGUGGCGAAGGCGACUUUCUGGCCUGUAACUGACGCUGAGGUGCGAAAGCGUGGGGAGCAAACAGG
rnacentral:rRNA from 1 species